UCUUUAGACCUGUGCAAUGGGUUGUCGAGACAAUGUGUCAGGAUGGGAACAUAGCAGCACACCUUGGCUAUCUAUGUGCCGCAGGUAUCUGGAGGGGG
rnacentral:SRP_RNA from 1 species